GCUUAUGGCCAUACCACCCUGAGCGCGCCCAAUCUCAUCUGAUCUCUGAAGCUAAGCAGGAUCGGGCCUGGUAAGUACUUGGAUGGGAGACCACCUGGGAAUACCAGGUGCUGUAAGCU
ensembl:rRNA 5S_rRNA 5S ribosomal RNA